UUCCUACCCUAAACUGCACCAGUGCCUGCCUGGGCUGAGCAGCAAGAGAGACAUCUGUGGUAUCUGAUGACAAUCAUCUCUGAUUAGAGUGUCACUAUAUAGCACAGGCGAGCAGGGGCCACAGCUAAUUAGCUAUGUGAGGCUAGCACUCUAUUUACUGGAACUGUACUAACAAGUUGCAGCUUUUUCCAACGCAGAAGAGUC
rnacentral:lncRNA from 1 species